GUAAUUCAUAGGUCCUCUUGGGCCUCUUACCCUUCCUGGAGUAAACUAGGAGUGGUUGAUGCUUAUCACAAUCCACUGAUUACAAUUAGACAAAGCAUGGAAAUGAUAUAAAGGUGUACAAGUAGCUAUAACUCAAAUUGAGACAUCAGGGAAAGAGAAAUGCCGCAUGGUGUGGUCUUUGGUGUGAUGAAGUGUUAGAAACAUGCGGUGAAUAUAAAGAGGGUGCUGGUGUUUAAGGAACAUCUUCGUUCAGCUGUGAUGCUUGAACAAGCAUCUUAUUGCUGUUACCUUUUAGCCUAACCAAUAAUAUUAAGAAAUGGACGACAAGGGUAUUUCAAGAAAAACUUCAAUUUUUGAGAACACAUCAUAUGCCAAGUGCAAUUGUGUUGGUCAAUUUUUUAUGUAAGGUUCAUGACUAUGUGUGACAACUCGAAGUUCGUUCCAUUAUUUGUAACCCGUUUCGUUAAUACAUUCGUCGUUUUCAA